UCGAGGAUCUUCCGCAAUGGGCGCAAGCCUGACGGAGCGACGCCGCGUGUGGGAUGAAGGCCUUCGGGUUGUAAACCACUGUCACUCGUUAAGAAAGGGUCCGGCGUCAACAGCGUCGGGCACUGACGAAGGCGAGAGAGGAAGCCACGGCUAACUUCGUGCCAGCAGCCGCGGUAAGACGAAGGUGGCGAGCGUUGUUCGGAAUCACUGGGCAUAAAGCGCACGUAGGCGGUGCCGUAAGUCGGGUGUGAAAUCCCUCGGCCUAACCGAGGAACUGCGCCUGAUACUGCGGUGCUUGAGGACCAGAGGGGUGCAUGGAAUUUCCGGUGGAGCGGUGAAAUGCGUUGAUAUCGGAAGGAACUCCGGCGGCGAAAGCGAUGCACUGGCUGGUUUCUGACGCUGAGGUGCGAAAGCCAGGGGAGCAAACGGG
rnacentral:rRNA from 1 species